rnacentral:rRNA from 1 species
GCAAUACGGUGACGUGGAGCAAAUCUUAUAAAAUAUCUCCCAGUUCGGAUUGUAGUCUGCAACUCGACUACAUGAAGUUGGAAUCGCUAGUAAUCGUAGAUCAGCUAUGCUACGGUGAAUACGUUCCCGGGUCUUGUACUCACCGCCCGUCACACCAUGGGAGUCGAACUCAUUCGAAGCGGGGAUGCUAAAGUAGCUACCUUCCACAGUGGAUUUGGCGACUGGGGUGAAGUCGUAACAAGGUAACCGUAGGAGAACCUGCGGUUGGAUCACCUCCUUUCAAAG